GAAAUAGAUAGGGACCCAAGGUGAAAACAGCAGCAGAUGUGAAAACAAAGAAAAAACUACCUCCCACCAGGAAAUUCAUAUUUAAGGAGCAUAUAAAUUGUAUUUUUGGAAAAGACAGGGUAUCUGUAAAGUUGGUAUUCAGAUGAAGACUGGCUGCACUGGGGGUGAAGUAGAGAAUGGAAAACUAAAAAACGAUUUCCAGAUAGUAACAGGUAGAAAGCAAUACGUGAAACCACAGUUCUGCCUGUAUCAAGAGGUCCGACAGCACACUGAUGUUGCCUGAAAAAAUAUCUAAAGAUUAGGAGAUUUGUGGUAACUCCCCUCAAGCACAGUAAACAGUCCAGCACAAAAUCAUAGACUGCCAGGUCUUUUUGUACAUUUCAUAGCCAACAUGCUGAAGUGGAUGACUGAAAUACAUUUAGUCUUGCUUCUUAAAUCUAACAUCAUUAAUAACAGCAAGGAUUUCACUUGAUCAACAACAAGAUCAUAUACUAGUUAAUAUACACACAAGUAAAAUUGACAGUGAUUGUUCAGUAAACAGUUUAAAAUAAUUAAACUGGUUUUCAGGACGCAUACUGAUUUGUUAACACCACCUUAGUUAAAUAAAUUAUGGCUUCCGGGAGGUGUAUUCUCACAACUGCUUUCAAUCAAUUCCACUUGUUAAGGCAGUUAUUUCCUACCAUGUUUCAGGGACUUCAAAAAUUUCAGUGGAAUUACUUGUGAGGCCUCCUGCUGAAACUUGUUCGCUCUUGAUUUUUUUGAACCUUUUGGCUCUCUUCUUAACAUCUGGAGGGGACUCCGCAUAGGAGUUUGUCUGAUCUUCUGGAACCCCUUCCUCUUCCAAAUUGUCAGGACCAGUUUCUUCCUGAAUAGGACUCAUACUUCUCUUUCCCACUAUACUGGUGCCUGUAAAACUGUUAAUACAGUAGUAUCGACUCUGGGAAAUGUAAGGUGCACCUUGAGUUUUCAACCGUUUUCUCUCCAUCUCCUUCCAACUAUCUUCUGUACAUUUUCUCUUUGCUCGCUUUUCUUCAUGUUUUUUCUCAACAUACUCUGCAUAUGUCUGGAUCCUGUAACUUUCAGCGUAUCUGCUGGUAUUUACAGCUAUUUGUACUUGUUCUGGC
rnacentral:lncRNA from 1 species